rnacentral:rRNA from 1 species
AAAGGAAUAGACGGGGGCCCGCACAAGCGGAGGAACAUGUGGUUUAAUUCGAUGAUACGCGAGGAACCUUACCCGGGCUCGAACGGCUAUUGCAUAAUGAUGAAAGUCAUUCGUCGCAAGACAGUAGUCGAGGUGCUGCAUGGUUGUCGUCAGCUCGUGCCGUGAGGUGUCGGCUUAAGUGCCAUAACGAGCGCAACCCUUAUUUUCAGUUACCAUCAGGUAGAGCUGGGGACUCUGGAAAGACUGCCACCGUAAGGUGUGAGGAAGGUGGGGAUGACGUCAAAUCAGCACGGCCCUUACGUCCGGGGCUACACACGUGUUACAAUGGGAGGGACAGAAGGCAGCUACCCCGCGAGGGGAUGCGAAUCCAUUAAACCCUCUCCCAGUUCGGAUCGAAGUCUGCAACCCGACUUCGUGAAGCCGGAUUCGCUAGUAAUCGCGCAUCAGCCAUGGCGCGGUGAAUACGUUCCCGGGCCUUGUACACACCGCCCGU